CUUGUCGUGCGCGGUUCCACACUACGUUUUUCGACAACGGCACGGCACGGCACGUAAUACGUAGUUUUUAAUUAU